GAUGAACGCUGGCGGCGUGCCUAAUACAUGCAAGUCGAGCGAACAGACGAGGAGCUUGCUCCUCUGACGUUAGCGGCGGACGGGUGAGUAACACGUGGAUAACCUACCUAUAAGACUGGGAUAACUUCGGGAAACCGGAGCUAAUACCGGAUAACAUGUUGAACCGCAUGGUUCAACAGUGAAAGACGGUCUUGCUGUCACUUAUAGAUGGAUCCGCGCCGCAUUAGCUAGUUGGUAAGGUAACGGCUUACCAAGGCAACGAUGCGUAGCCGACCUGAGAGGGUGAAUCGCCCACCUGGAAACUGGAACCGGUCCCAACUCCCACGGGGGGGCAGCGUGGGGGAUAUUUCCCAAUGGGGGCAAACCCUGACGGGGCAUCCCCGGUGGGGGAAAAAGGGUCUCGGGUUGUAAAACCCUUGUUUUUGGGGAAAAAAAAAUGUGUAAGUAACUAUGCCCUUCUGACGGUUCCCUAAUGAAAAACCCCCGGUAAAUUCCUG
rnacentral:rRNA from 1 species